GAAUCAAGUUAUACUAAGAUAAGCUUCUAACUUAAUCUUAAAGCGAUCUUAAUCGUUUUUGAUUCU
rnacentral:tRNA from 1 species